rnacentral:tRNA from 1 species
GAGUUUGACUGGGACAACGAGAACUGCUAAUUACUCGUCUCCAUAGUUCGAUUCUAUGGCUUACUCAACUGC